rfam:Pteropus alecto contig54239, whole genome shotgun sequence.
GUCUAUGGCCAUGCCACCCUGAACAAGCCCAAUCCUGUCUGAUUUUGGAAGCUAAGCAGGGUCGGGCCUGGUUAGUAUUUGGAUGGGAGACCACCUAGGAAGACCAGGUGCUGUAGGCA